rfam:Schistosoma margrebowiei strain Zambia genome assembly, scaffold: SMRZ_contig0006578
GCACUACUGAAGAGUCCCACGAUGGGACGAAAUGGCCAUCUAGUGC